rnacentral:rRNA from 1 species
UACGUAGGCAGCGAGCGUUGUUCGGAGUUACUGGGCGUAAAGGGUGUGUAGGCGGUUGUUUAAGGUUGGUGUGAAAUCUCCCGGCUCAACUGGGAGGGUGCGCCGAAUACUGAAUGACUAGAGUGCGGGAGAGGAAAGUGGAAUUCCUGGUGUAGCGGUGAAAUGCGUAGAUAUCAGGAGGAACACCGGUGGUGUAGACGGCUUUCUGGACCGUAACUGACGCUGAGACACGAAAGCGUGGGGAGCGAGCAGG